AUACGGUAUGUGGUAGAUGUACCGCCAUCUGAUUGUAAACAAAUCCGGCGUUUAAGUCUUCGUAGAGUAUAUGUGCAAUGUAAAGUAAUUACUGUGUAAAAUUAGAUUUUUUUCCUGUACUGCUCCAACAACUGGAAAGUUGAACGAUACGAUCAAGUUUGAAUUCGAUUGAAGAGUGCACAAAAUGGGUAAAGGAAGUAGCGUAAAUGCAGAUGCUCCAGUGGAUAGCGCGAGCUUCAAACCAAAUGCUAUUGCGAGAUUGCUUUCAGGCAUUGGCACAGUGAAUGGCAGCUGAAAAAUUUUGACCCUUGUUUCUGGAAGUGAAAUGUUAGAUGGUUUGAUGAAGUGCCACAGAGAUUAUCUCUUAAAGAAUGCGUGCAGGCCAACCACCAACACAAGAUAUUAAAAGAGCAAUGAAAAUGAAGAUUUAACUAUAAAGAAAAAUCUGACUAAUAUUAUUACUCAUAACACUUAAUUGUUUCGUAUUAUUGUAAAUUUAUGCGAGUUUUCCUGUAUUCUGUUUAUUUUGCAACUUAUGUUAUUGUAAAU